UACGGGGGGAGCAAGCGUUGUUCGGAUUUACUGGGCGUAAAGGGCGCGUAGGCGGUCAGCACAAGUCAGUUGUUGAAAUCUCCGGGCUUAACUCGGAAAGGUCAACUGAUACUGUGCGACUAGAGUGCAGAAGGGGCAACUGGAAUUCUCGGUGUAGCGGUGAAAUGCGUAGAUAUCGAGAGGAACACCUGCGGCGAAGGCGGGUUGCUGGGCUGACACUGACGCUGAUGCGCGAAAGCCAGGGGAGCGAACGGG
rnacentral:rRNA from 1 species